UUAGGUCUGAUUUUUAAUUGAUUACAUAUGUGAUAUGUUAGAUUAAAUUCUUAGUAGCUUGAUAAUUGAAUUGGAAUAGUCACCAUGACCGUCCGAUCAUAAGAUGAUGAAGGGAUUAAAGUCCCUCUCUCGUCCAUUCGAUAGGUUCUCUUUAAUGACGUGUAGGGGUGCCGACUGUGAUGUUUCCUAUGAAGAUGAACGGCGA
rnacentral:lncRNA from 1 species